UACGUAGGGUGCGAGCGUUAAUCGGAAUUACUGGGCGUAAAGGGUGCGCAGGCGGCUAUAUAAGUCAGAUGUGAAAUCCCCGGGCUCAACCUGGGAACUGCGUUUGUGACUGUAUGACUAGAGUACGGUAGAGAGGGGUGGAAUUCCUGGUGUAGCAGUGAAAUGAGUAGAUAUCAGGAGGAACAUCGAUGGCGAAGGCAGCCCCUUGGACCUGUACUGACGCUCAUGCACGAAAGCGUGGGGAGCAAACAGG
rnacentral:rRNA from 1 species